GGAACAAUGGUCUCUGGUUCCCCAGAUCACUUGGUUUCUUAAUUCUGGGAGAUUAAUUCCAACUGUUCGGACGACUCUGGGUUGGGGCUGGGGCUGAUGAGGUGGCAUCUUUUCUGAGGGGUUUCCAGGACUCAAAUGGGGACAGAAAAGGGAUUGUGAAAGGAGUUAGAGAUUUGGUUCUAAGGAGUCUGUAGAAGUAUCAAGAGGAGGAAAAAAGGACCACUCAGCAUGAUCCAGGGGUAAGAGCACUGAAUUUGGAAUUGAAAAACCUGUGUUUGAAUCCUGCCACUAACACUUAAUAACCAGAGGACAACCACAUCAGGAAGGGGACGCCGUGACGUGCAAGUGAAUCGGAUUGAAGUGAGGGAGGGCCGUGUGAGGUCACCAGCCCCACUUUCUCCUCCGGAGCCAGGUUCAUAGGAACAGGUGGCUAGAUACUGAACAAGGAGUUCCUUCCAUUUGAAUAUGGGUCUAUCUGAAGUUCUGAUAAUUUACACCACUGCAAACCAGAUAAUGAAGCCAAUGAGUUGGGAGUUGUAAAGCUGGCUGGACUUCUUGCUCCCAUCUCAACUCCUCCAUGCGUGGCCUUGGCCGUGAGCACCAGUGCCUCCUGAUUGAUGCUGGACACCUCCGGGGAGCUCUUCAUGAUCACCU